CCUGAGGAUUUGUCUCUGGAUACUUUUCUGUUUUUCCCCAAUGAAAAGCUUUUUUUUUUUUCUCCUAGAGCCCAUGUGAAUCCCUGGUCAGGCCUGAUUAGACCAUGAUUCUAAAAAAAAUAUUGGGAGGAUUUCCACCGUCACAUCUGGAACAUUUUUUUAGGUUCUCUCGGUAACCUGAGAUAAUUGGUCUGGCCUGGAGCCUUGAACCUGUUUAAAGCAACCAGCUAAGGACGCCUGGCUGUCUCCAUGAAAAGCACCAGCGACUCCAACACUCCCUUCCAACUUGGUCUGUGACAAAGUGAAAGGUUCCACGUCUGAGCAGAUUAUCCCACACAGAGCUGUUGGAAUUACUCCAUGAUGAUUUCAAAGGAAAUUUUCUUCUCUAAACAUUCUUAUCCCAAGGGAUAAUCUCUCCAAGGAAGUCAAAAGGAAAGGAAGAGGCAGACGGGGCCUGGGGCUCCCUAAGGGCUGUGAUCCCAGACUUCUACAGAACACUGCAACAUGCCAUCUCUGUCUUAGCUACACCAAGCAGAAUUUGGGCUCCAAGAAGACUGAGUGCAUCCAUACAGAGCACAAAUCCCUUCUCCAAGAAGGAAACCACAGAGCUUAUCAAGAAAGAUCUGUGCCUCUGUGCCAGACAGCAACAGCCCUGCUGAAAAAUGAAAUAUGAAAUAAAUGAGAUAACACUGUUUAAAAAUCUUGAAUGCUGGGAUGGUUUUCUUCCUCCUUCAUCGUAUUCUGAAUUCCACUUGGUCACCUGAAAAUUCCUAGACAUGAGGAAGCUAGAGGAAGUCUCAAUAUGGAGUACACAAAGCAAGCACUUAAUAAGUAUCUGUUGAAUUCCUAUGAAUGAGUGAGGACAGCUUCCUCUGCCCUUUCUCAACAUACUCAACAUACUCAUGGAUCACUCCAUCUGGAAAUGAGAACUGCCCAGAUUGGCGUGAGCGUCCCUCACAGAUCGUGCGUUCAGUCUGGUAAUUACACAUGAAAAUACCACAAAGAGAAGAACCCAGGUAUUUGAGGGACAGUUUUCAACGUGUGAUGGAAGAAUAACACUCCACGGAGAAAUGAAAGGUUUUUCUCCCCCUGGUUCACCUGAGCAUCCAGCACCCGAUGCACGUGAUAGGAUAGCAUGGUGUAGGUCAAGGACAAACACGUGGUUACAUCUUUGCCUCUCUGAAACACUGGCCUUUGUGGACAUUGUGCCAGCCCUCUUUUCACUGUUCGCGCAGCUUGCAGGCCUUUUCCCUAAUUUUUUUUUUUUAAUAUUUAUUUUUCAAUUUUCGGUGAACACAACAUCUUUAUUUUAUUUUAUGUGGUGCUGAGGAUCCGACCCAGCGCUCGGAGCAUGCCAGGAAACACAGUGUUAUCCAAAAUUAUCAGACAAGAUCAAGGCAGAUGAAGACUCCCUGGAUGUCAUGAAGUUUCCAUGAAGCCUGUCUGGACUUGUAAUAUGUACCACCAUUAAAGGCCAUGCCUAGGCUUUCUCUGUUGGUAUCUGGCACAUGUGAGGUAUACUGCCAAUAUUUUGACAGUAUCAAUUAAUGAUCAAUCAGAAAUGGAUGAAGAAAAAGGAUGUUUUUGUGAGACAUUUAGAGAUCAUUUUAGAAAUGGACCCAUUUCAUUUCCAAAGAAAUUUUACGUUCAAGUUAAAAAAAAAAUCACCCAAAUGAGAUUUUGGCGAAUUUCAUCUGAUCGACUCUUUACAUUAUUUUGUAGUAAUUAUACUGAAAUCUCUAUUUAUGUAAACACAGUAAAUGCAUCAUAACUCCAGAAUAAGUGUACAAAUACUGCAUGUCAAAUUAGGUUAUAAUCACUUUCAAGGGACGUGAUUUCCUAGCUAAACAGUUUCGUUUACAUUUUGCAAAAUAAAAAAUAAGUGAAAAUAACUAUAUAAAAUCAGGCUUACAGCUGGACAGAACUGCUUGGCAAUGGUCCAGAUACUGAGCAGGGAAAGCCCCUCCAGCUGAGGAGCGUGCAGGACUUUGCAGGCUUGGCCUGGAGAGAUGCCCUUGUGGCUGCUGUCCUGUCUGUGUACCCUGUCCCCGGCUACCUGUGGGGAGAGGAGGCAAAUUAACAUUUAAGAUGAGAUUCUUGCUGUGAGAGGAUCUGUGUUGAGUAGGGUAGAAACUUGCUUAGUAGAAGGGAAAAGAAGGCAACUCAACAUUUCACACUUAAGUAAAAAGUCAGGGGUCCCCUAACUAAAAAUGGUUGAAGCUAGCAAUGGAGUCAUUGAAUUUCAGUGUCAGCUUUGAAUAUCAUGGAUCUUUGGGUCCAGCCCUGUAAUAUGGAGAAGGAAAUACUGGCUAUAGGGUAAGAAGCUGGACUAGGACUGAGCCCUAGAACUUUGCUUCCCAAAUCUGGGACUCAUUUAUAAGAUAACGGAAGGUCAUCCUUUCAAGAGAGAGGAUUACUUUAAAGCUAUUUGUUUGGAUACCUAUCUUUAAAAAAAUACAUUCUAUCCUUAGCAUUCCGUAAAAAUAAACAAAUCAAAUGAAAGCAUGCUGUCUAUCUACAACUACAAUAAAAAGAAUUUAAAAAAUACAUUUGCCAUAUCUCUUACUUGACCAACACUUUCUGCAACAUACCCUUAUGUUGGAUAUAUACUUACGAAGGGCAUAAUUGUAAACCUAGUUAUUAUGUAAUAUUAUGUAAUUCAGUGGCAUUGUCUGUAGCCAACUGGUUGGGCAGAAUUUCUUUCUUUUUUUUUAAAUAGCUUUGAUAAACUGCAUUUGGUUGUCUUUCCUCUACAUCCCCUUAAAGUUCAUUUGCUACUUUUGUUUGUUAAUUCCAAAACAUCCAUGAAACAAAAACAAAUUUUUGAAGAAAUUGAUUCUGAUUUAGAGAUAACUCCAUAUUUGUAUGUUUAAAGUACAUGUGUAUAUGUGUCUGUAGUUUUAGUUUAAUUGAUACUAUUUUGUAUUCAAAAUAUAUUUUUGAACACUGACUCUCUGCUGUACUGUGUAUACCUUUAUGUCUUUCCACACUCCAUUUGUUGAAUUGCCUUGGGCAGAGGUUGGCAAUCUAGGGCAUAUGAACCAAAAUGUAGUCCACUUCCUGAUUUUGUAAAUAAAGAUUUAUUGAAACAGUUAUACUCA